CCUGCCAGUAGUCAUAUGCUUGUCUUAAAGAUUAAGCCAUGCAUGUCUUAGUUUAAGUAACUUAAACGCGAAACUGCGAACGGCUCAUUAAAUCAGUUAUAAUCUACUCAGUCUUGUAACAGUUAGACGGAUAACUGUGGUAAUUCUAGAGCUAAUACGUGGGAGUAAGGUCCGACUUCUCGGAAGGGCCGCACUUGUCACAUACAAAACACCGCGCGUCGCAAGACGUUAGUGUUGAUUCAAGGCAAGUUAGCGAAGCGCAGUGAGCAUCGACUCGGCGCUGGACUGAUCGGGUUUCUGACCUAUCAACUUAUUCGUAGUGUAUUGGACUACGAAGGUGAUAACGGGUGACGGGGAAUUAGGGUUCGGUUCCGGAGAGGGAGCUUGAGAUAUGGCUACCACUUCCAAGGAAGGCAGCAGGCGCGCAAAUUACCCAAUGCCAAUACGGCGAGGUAGUGACAAUACAUAACGAUCUCAGUCUUCGGAUUGGGAAUCGGAAUGAGAACAUUGUAAACAACUUAGCGAGGAACAAUUAGAGGACAAGUCUGGUGCCAGCACCCGCGGUAAUUCCAGCUCUAAUAGCGUAUAUUAAAGUUGUUGCGGUUGAAAAGCUCGUAGUUGGAUUUCAAUCGUAGUUCGGGUACGAGUGAUGUGUCAUCUCUCCCAAAAAGAGAUCGGCACAGCUCGUAAGCCGGCUGCGGUUUACAAACGAUCACUCGUUACGUUCUGUUCUUAACUGAAUGGUUCGUGGCGAUGGUCCGUCUACCUUGAAUAAUUUAGAGUGCUCAAAGCAGGCAUUCACUUUGCUUCUGUAUAUAUUAGCAUGGGAUAGUAGAAUACGUUCCUAAUUGAGUUUGCGGGUUGGAGAGUUCUUGUCGGUCGGUUCGCCGAUCGACUCCUUUUCACUUGGUGCGCAAGCGCUAAGUCCUUGGUUGGGAAAAUGAUCAAUAGGGACUAUCGUGGUCAUUCAUAUUCAGUGGGGAGAGGUGAAAUUCUAAGAUCCAUUGAAGAUGCCCAGAUGCGAAAGCGUUUGACAAGGGUACUCCCAUUGAUCAAGAACGAAAGUUAAGGGAUCGAAGACGAUCAGAUACCGUCGUAGUCUUAACUAUAAACUAUACGAAUCAGCGAUCGGGAUGUGUUAGAUCGUUUAACUGCUUCGGCAGCUUGCGAGAAAUCAGAAUAUCUGCGUUCCGGGGGGAGUAUGGUCGCAAGGCUGAAACUUAAAGGAAUUGACGGAAGAGCACACCAGGAGUGGAGCCUGCGGC
rnacentral:rRNA from 1 species